rnacentral:snoRNA from 1 species
UAGAGCUAUGAUUAUCUGCUAUACCGCCCCAGUCUGAUGUUAGGUGACUGAGUGGUAAAUUCUGAGCUCUG